GUUUCGGUUUUAGUCUAUAUAUAUUCCACCCGGAAAAAUAAACGGGGCCUUGCUAUGAAGAGAGCAUGAGCCUGGAACCAAGUCCUUGAGACUGUUUUCUCUCCUGUUACCCUUCCUUUCAGGUUUAGGACCUGCUGGCAGGAUCCUGACAUCGCGGCUCGCGACACAGGAGCACUUUUGCUAUUUCACAACUGUCAAUGUCAUGUGGCCAUCUUCCCCAUCACUAGUUACUCUAGCUUGUGUCUGCCGGUUGCUAUCUUUAUGCCAAAUGCCCAUAACAUUUAAUCGCCACAAGCUGGAGGUCUCAAGAUAAGCCUGUGAUGAAGUGAUGAAAUUUUCACCUCUUAACAAUGUAUGGGCCAAAGAGAUUUUCACACUGAAGAUUAUAGCCAUGGCUUUCACCAAGCUGAAAAACAAGCUCCAAUGUGAUGAUCCACACAAGACCAAGCUUGAUGAGAAAUGUAG
rnacentral:lncRNA from 1 species